rnacentral:rRNA from 1 species
GACGAACGCUGGCGGCGUGCUUAACACAUGCAAGUCGAACGGAAAGGCCCCCUUGUUGGGUACUCGAGUGGCGAACGGGUGAGUAACACGUGAGUAACCUACCCUCGUCUUUGGGAUAAUUUCAGGAAACUGGGGCUAAUACCGGAUAGGAGCUCCUGCUGCUUGGUGGGGGUUGGUAAGUUUCGGCGGUUGGGGUUGGACUCGCGGCUUAUCAGCUUGUUGGUGGGGUAGUGGCUAACCAAGGCGUUGACGGGUAGCCGGCCUGGGAGGGUGACCGGCCACAAUGGGACUGAGAUACGGCCCAGACUCCUACGGGAGGCAGGAGUGGGGAAUAUUGCACAAUGGGCGGGAGGCUGAUGGAGGAACGCCGGGUGCGGGAUGGACGGCUUCGGGUUGUAAACCGCUUUCGCCUGUGACGAAGGGUGAGUGACGGUAAUGGGUAAAGAAGCACCGGCUAACUACGUG